UCUCCGUUGGUGAACCAGCGGAGGGAUCAUUACCGAGUUUACAAACUCCCAAACCCUUUGUGAACCUUACCUAUCGUUGCUUCGGCGGGAUCGCCCCGGCGCCUUCGGGCCCGGAACCAGGCGCCCGCCGGAGGCCCCAAACUCUUGUGUUUUUUUCAGUAUUCUCUGAGUGGCAAACGCAAAAAUAAAUCAAAACUUUUAACAACGGAUCUCUUGGCUCUG
rnacentral:misc_RNA from 1 species